GGCAAGGCCUGGCUACAGUCCCUUGCUGGGAGUGGGGUGGGCUGCGCUCUGUAGCCCACCCCACCUGGCUAGUCAGAGGGCUCUGAAGUGGACUUGCAGCAGAUUUCUUCGGCAGAUCGUGUGGGAACCAGAGGAGCUUGACACGUGUGGGUGCACCUCUUACCUGGCAGCUGAGUCCCUCCAAAUGGCAUCUGCCAGCCACCACUUCCAGGGGUCCUGGACCCAAGCAGGGGAAGAAAGCCACGUGCCCACUGUCCGGCCAGGCCUGGCUCAGGGCCCCUGCUGGGCUGGUGUCCCUUGUCUCACCCCGGGUUUUCCUGGCUGCUCAUCCUCCCUUGAGAGAUGGCCUGAUGGUCCAAGAAAAGUUGAAGACAGCAGAGUCCUACCUCCCUCUCACCCAGUGUCCUGCAUCUUGUGGAAACCAAGGAAUUGACUCAUGAACAUCCCUGUUAAUGGGGCCCCGGGUUUAUUCCAAUUACCAGUUUUUUUCACCAAAACCAUUUCCUGUUCCCAACCCCACGUGGCCUUUAGUCAUCGGCUUUUUUAGUCUCUUCGGAUCGACACUUCAUUCUCCUCUGGUUUUUCCUGAUGUUGACUGUUUUGAGGACGGGUCUGGUGGUUUGCAAAAUGUCUCUUCAUAGGCCUUGUUAGUCUCAUAGACUGGGGUUGUGGGUCACACACACACGCUGGGACACCCUGUCCAUACCCCUGCGGGGUCCUUGCCGCCCACGUAACAGCUGAAGUUCUCUCGAGGUUGACUCAGCCUGGCGGAGGUUGCGUCCCCCCAUCUGCUUAGAGCUCCCCUUUCUCUGCUUUGUAUUGAGUCCUGCCCACACUUGGCAGGGGGCAUUUACUUUAAAAAUAAUUUUUCAUCCAGAAAAAGGUAAAAGGACAAAUGCCCGCAGUGGCACACAGAACAUAGAUACCUACUGACAUUCAAAGAA